AUAGAGAUUUACUGUAAGCAUUAAAUAAAAAAUAAUAUUUUGACUUAUUUUUACCAUUUUAGUGACUGAGACCCUCUAUACUCCCCAGAAGCCCUAAGGAUUAAAAAAAAAAUCCAUAUAUUUUGUUAUGGUUUGAAAAUGAAAAAUAUCACGGACACCCCUAAUUUAAAGCAUCUAGGCUGCAGUUUCUCCCUCGUCCACCAGAGAGCGCCACUGAGCCCCACACUGACCCAGCAGUCAGCGGAGCUUGAGCUCCUCCGCCGCAGCCGAGCAGUGCAGUCGAGCCGAGAGGAGAGUGCGGAAUGGGCCGCUGUCUCCAACCGCCAAUGAAGACACCCUUGCGGAUAACAUGUCUUCCCGUGUGACUAUUUUCCAAAUAUAACAUAUCGGAUUCGUCGGCAGCGUCGCUUAUCUAUUUCCCUCCCCAGCCACACGCCUCCGAAAGGCUGAAUGGAAGCGGAGGGAGCGGUCGGGUUGUCGGAGGCCGGGGACGGGAGUCCUCUGUCCGGGGCCACAGCAUCCGAGGAUGCUGACACAGUGGUUGGCGUUAGCUACGGAAUGGACACGGCAGACAUGGAUGCUGCAGCAAGGAAAGCCUUUAUCACUGAGAUGCCAUCCUCCUCAGGUCUUCCUGGCCAGGGAAAAAAGAUUGGCCACAGAGGGGUGGAUGCAUCUGGAGAAACCACUUACAAGAAGACAACAUCCUCUGCACUAAAAGGAGCCAUCCAACUGGGCAUCGGCUACACUGUGGGCAACCUGAGCUCCAAGCCUGAGAGAGAUGUUUUGAUGCAGGACUUCUACGUGGUGGAAAGCAUAUUUUUCCCCAGUGAAGGGAGCAACCUCACCCCAGCCCACCACUUCCCGGACUUCCGUUUUAAAACAUAUGCUCCUGUGGCCUUCCGCUACUUCAGAGAGCUGUUUGGCAUCAGGCCAGAUGACUACCUGUACUCCCUGUGUAAUGAGCCACUUAUUGAGCUGUCCAAUCCCGGAGCGAGUGGUUCAGUCUUCUAUCUCACAAAGGACGAUGAGUUCAUCAUCAAGACGGUCAUGCACAAGGAGGCGGAAUUCUUACAGAAGUUACUGCCGGGCUACUACAUGAACUUGAAUCAGAACCCCCGUACUUUGCUGCCCAAGUUUUUCGGCCUCUACUGCGUCCAGUCUGGCGGCAAGAACAUCCGCGUGGUGGUGAUGAACAACGUCCUGCCCCGCGUUGUGCGCAUGCACCUCAAAUACGACCUGAAAGGUUCCACCUACAAGAGACGGGCAUCCAAGAAGGAAAGAGAAAAGGCACGCCCCACAUUUAAAGAUCUUGACUUCAUGCAAGACUUGCAGGAUGGAUUGAUGCUGGACCAAGACACGUACAACGCGCUGGUCAAAACCCUGCAAAGAGACUGCCUGGUGCUGGAAAGCUUUAAGAUCAUGGACUACAGCCUCUUGCUGGGAGUUCACAACAUGGACCAGGCAGAGAGGGAGAGGCAGACGGAAGGUUCCCAAGGCGGCAGUGACGAGAAAAGGCCCAUGGCCCAGCAGAAGGCCUUGUACUCCACGGCCAUGGAGUCCAUUCAGGGAGGGGCCGCAUGCGGGGAGUCCAUUGAUACUGAAGAUACGAUGGGCGGGAUCCCUGCUGUCAAUGGAAAAGGAGAAAGACUUCUUCUCUACAUUGGCAUCAUUGACAUCUUGCAAUCUUACAGAUUAAUCAAGAAAUUGGAACACACAUGGAAAGCUUUGGUGCAUGAUGGGGAUACUGUCUCAGUCCAUCGGCCUGGUUUCUAUGCUGACAGAUUCUUUAAGUUCAUGAGCAGCACCGUUUUCAGGAAGACCUCCUCUCUGAAAUCAUCUCCAUCCAAGAAGGGUCGUGUGUCGCUGACAGUUCCAAAGUGUGGUGGCCCCGGUGCGGCUUGGUCUGUCAGCCAGCUUCCAUCGGAGAGAGACGAGAACAUCUACGACCUGAGAGGCGCUCGCAGCUUCCCAACGCUGGAAGAUGAAGGGCGACCCGAUCUGCCAUGUACACCUCCGUCGUUUGAAGAGGCCACCACGGCAUCGAUUGCCACCACCUUGUCCUCCACCACCUCACUGUCUAUCCCUGAAAGAUCUCCCUGCGACACAGUCGAGCACCCCCGCUACAGGAGGCACACCCAGUCUCUCAGCCAUGAUGUAAGGACCCAGGAGGAGCUACGUGUGCGCGAAGAGGACCAGCAGACUAUCACAGUGGAGGUGGAGUUAAAGAGACGUGACAGUGAGCCCACCUUUUCCAUCCCACAAUCUUCUUCUGAACACAGUGAGGCUCAAGAAGACGGGGCUGCUGCAGCACCUGCCGUUACUUCUCCAGUUUUUGAGGCGUCGCCCGCUCCUCCCUCCAAGGCAGCCGUAGACACUCCAUCCAGCCCCAAAUUGGAAGCAGCGGCGGUGGCAACCGCAGUGGUGGUAGUGGAAGCAGACAGGUCCCGCCACAUGUCAGGCUCAGGGUGCACCAGCCAGGCAUCGGUGGAUGAUGACGAAGACGUGCCAGUCACCGACAUCUACUUUACUUGUUGACGGGUAGCCUAGUGGGCUUGGACAUACAGGCCGCCUCCAGAGGACAGGACCUGGGUGUACUCUCCGCUACACUAUGGCUCAGAGUCUAAGGCCCUGCCAGAUGGAGAUUGGGAAAGAGAGACAUAAACCCUGUUCUGUGACUGAAAGGCGUGAAGAUCUCAGCAGUGAGGGUUAUCCAUCUGAAGUCCAAACCUCCUCAAUGGUAGCAGCGGAUUUCUUUUUGUCUCAAGAGGAGAUUUGAAACCCAUACUAAGAAUCAAAGUGACUGGAAUACCAGAAAAGGGUAGGCCAGGAGGGACGUGAGGAAAAACUGCAGUCCUUGCCAUAUGGUACUUGUGUUUACGUGUGACAUAGUACAAGUGACGUUGUAUGUGAUAUGUUUGGCGUGACACACCACACUAACCUUUGUUGUCUUGCACAUGAACUCAGUUUAAAAAAAACAUCGUUUUCGUCCCUUGUGCAUAUAUGUGGCAGCCAUAUUGGAGUAGUAUGGCUUUCCAGAGUAAUGUAAUAGUAGUGGUGGCUCGGGAGGUUCAGUGGCCGCAGGGUUCCCGGUUCGAAUUCCUUUCACUGCCGUUGUGUCCUGGGCAAGACACUUCACCCACUUCGCCCACACAUGGAAGCUUCAAGAUGCUGAUGUAUGACCCGGAUCUGGUCCUUAGGUGCCCACUGCUCCUCAAGAAGAUGGGUCGGAUGUAGAGACACGUUUUUCUUUGCAUUGUAUAUGUGAUCAAGUUUAAUUCAUAUCAGUGAUACUAUAAUUGCACACAACCUGUACCUCUCCAAUAUGGCAGCCGCAUGCACGUGCAUACAUUGCCAAAGGGCAAGGAGAAGUCAUGGCCAAUCAACUCACAUAACAUUUCCAGAACUGGUUGUUAAAGGACAUAAAUCCUUGUAUUUCUUUCAUUUCAACUUUUGUGUAUUCAUUUUAAUGUGACAAUUAUUAUAUACAAUUAUACAGUGAACUUAUAUUUAUUUCUUCAAAAUGUUCUGGUACUUUUUUUUUCUUACCUUUUUGUAUCUUUUUAUCCAAAGAAUCUUGAUUAUUUUAGAGGCACCUCUGAGGGAUAAAUCAGACUCAUGAAAAAUCCAUAUUUUCUCAAAUCUUGGCGCUAACGAAUAAUAAUAAUAAUAAGGGCAUCUCUAAAAGUUGAGCUUUUUUCAAGGGAAAAAAGGUUGACACACAAUUAUCGGACUUUGAAAAGUUGACUCCUGAAGCAAUUGAAAAAUGUUGCUAACCAAAACAGCAGCACCCACCAAGUUACAUAAACGGUAUCUCCGAUGAAGUCUCAAGAUUAACUGUGUGUUGUAAUUCCCUGCGCACUUCCGAUUAGUGUUCUAGUAGAUUGAAAGGUGGUCGCUCCACAAUGUGGUGUCCAUAUUUAUUUAUAUUUUGUGACAAAUGUCUAACAUUCGCAAAAUUAAGACAAUUUAAGUGAAUAACCAUUUUUUUAUUGUAUUAUAAAAAGGCAUUUGUCCAAAUGCCUUACCUCGCUCCACAAUGUGGUGUCCAUAUUUAUUUAUAUUUUGUGAUGAAUAUCUAACUUUCGCAAAAUUAAGACAAUUUGAGUGAAUAACCUUUUUUUUUAUCGUAUUAUAAAAAGGCAUUUGUCCAAAUGCCUUUUUAUAAUAGACUCCUAAUAAUCUCUGCAGGUGAGUCACUAAAUGCCACUGGCCACUAUUUGUACAAAAUAUUGUAAAAGUGAAGUUGUUUAAAAGUUUUAUCAAAACAAAACUGCCCUGACAGUUACCCAGUCCUCUCUGCAGUUAUGUAAAUAAACCACUAUGGCUACUACAUGAGAAAGUAUGCUAAUACCUGUCCAAUUAUAGUCUUCCAGCCUGACUCAUUUUCCAGUCAAUCACCCACACAUCACUAUGGGGUUUUUCCAUCCACUUUUAAUGGAAGGAAAGCUAAUCUAGCUGAUGUUUCUACCAUGCGAUUGCCCUAAGCUGCACCAUGUAGAUCUCUCUCUGUAGACGUAGCACAUCAGUAGUAAAAUUUGCAGUCCAAAAUAGUACUAAAUGUCUACAGUUAGCAGUUAGCUUCAUAGUAUAGGAAUGAACAAGGAGAAAACGCAGUAGUUUUGAAAAAGGAUUGAAUGUUGUUCGACUAACCGUAAUGAAUAGGACCUGAAGUUGGUGGCCAAAAAGAACAUGCAUCAUAUGAGACGUGUUUUGGAUAAAUAGUGCACAAAUAGUUAGACAUUUGUUUUUAAGAUGUGUCUCUAGAUGAAGUCAAUCAACAACUAUUUGCAUACUUUAAACCUCUUAAUUUUUUUUUUCUUGACAGUGGAACCCCCCAAGUCAAACAGCAUAAAAGUUGUGGAGUUCUACCAAAAUUGUGUGACCAUAACCAGAGAAGCAGAUGGAAAACGGUGGGUCGUCUUAUAUAUGGGGGUCUAGAGAUUUAUAAAUGGAUUACUACUAGUCUUUUAUUUUUUUCGCAAAUGAUAGUUUUCCAAAAAUGAUUCUUAAACAGGGUGCUAAUAUAUCUUCCGUUCAGGGUUGUCUUCGGGUCAAUGCAUCCAUUAGUUACAACCACAAAAUAGCAUUACAAAGCAUAUGCUAGUGGAAAUAACUUUUAGCUAAACAGAUAAUGCCAACUAACACCUUUUACUGGUUAUCGUCUCCAAAAUAUCAAAUUUACUAUAUUUUAGUUUUAUAAUACAGCCGUUGAUGUCCUAUUUCAAUUAUAUGAUGGUUAGGAAUGUUAAAAUGUUGCUUUAAACAUUGUUUUCACAGUUAGUAAAAGUGUUAUACCAUACAAGUCGGAGUAUAAGUCGCUCCGAAGUAUAAGUCGCACCUGCCAAAAAUGCAUAAUAAAGAAGGAAAAAAUCAUAUAUAAGUCUUACUGAAGUAUAAGUCGCAUUUUUUGGGGAGGGAAAUUUAUUUGAUAAAACCCAACACCAAGAAUAGAUAUUUGAAAGGCAAUUUAAAAUAAAGAAUAGUGAACAACAGGCUGAAUAAUUAUAUAUAAUUAUAUGAGGCAUAAAUAACCAACUGAGAAGGUGCCUGGUGUGUUAACGUAACAUAUUAUGGUAAGAGUCAUUCAAAUAAUUAUAACAUAUAGAACAUGCUAUACGUUUACCAAACAAUCUGUCACUCCUAAUCGCUAAAUCCCAUGAAAUCUUAUACGUCGUCUCUUACGUGAAUGAGCUAAAUAAUAUUAUUUGAUAUUUUACGGUAAUUGAUUGAUUGAUACUUUUAUUAGUAGAUUGCACAGUUCAGUACAUAUUUCGUACAAUUGACAACUAAAUGGUAACACCCGAAUAAGUUUAUCAACUUGUUUAAGUCGGUCAGGGUCCACGUUAAUCAAUCCAUGGUACAAGACAAUUCAAUGUGUUAAUAAUUUCACACAUAAGUCGCUCCUGAGUAUAAGUCGCACCCCCGGCCAAACUAUGAAAAAAACUGCGACUUAUAGUCCAAAAAAUACGGUAGUUGCCACAGAUAGAUCUUGGAACUGAUUAUUUACAUUCUGAAUGUUUUGAGACGAGACCAUGUUGUGUGACUUUGGAGGUUCCAGUGUAUUUUCAUAGACUCACAGAAAUGGUGCACUCUGUUCGAAGAGUAUGUUUUAUCUGUAACAGAGGCCAGUUUGUUGCUCCUGGUGUGUAAUCAAUCUGCUGUCAUCAGAUGGAGAACACAGCAAUAUUUCUUUCAUUUUAUUUGAUUUCAAUUGCCUUAUUAUGGAAGAAAAUGUAAAUAUAGUACCAUUGUUUAUUCAUAUAUUGUCUUUUUUUCACCUGUGCAGUAUUUAUUUUUCUUUCUCAUAGUUGUGCUCCUGGGAAUGUGUACAUACAAAUUAUAAAUACAUAUAUAAAGAUAUAAAAAAUAUAUAUUUUCCAUCGAAAUUGGAGAAUAUUAUUUUUGUUUGGUUUUAUUUUUGCUGCUCGAUUAGAGAUAAUUUACGGAGUCAUAUUCGCCAGUGUGUUUACUGAGAGGCAGCAUUUAAAGUGUGUGACCGCGUCACGGCUGUUUGUUUGUAAGACGAACCAAAAAGAUGUGUUGGUUUUACUGUACAUGCAAACCAGUAGGGAUUCUUCCAAAGUGUUCAAGCUGUGUUGUGUGUGUUUAGUGUGUGUUUUCAAUUCGCCGUGUGCUCCCCUCUUCCAAUAGGAAGAGCCCUUUACAGAGACAUAGCAUGGUUUCAAAAUGAAUAAUGCAGAUCAGAAAUGUGUAUUUAUGUAUAUCUGUGUAUAUUCAUCUAUUUAUACCAGAGGAUAAAUAGAUGACUGUAAGUGUGUGUGCGUGUGUGUGUACGUGUGUAUGUUUGGACUCAAUCAGAAUGAAUAGGAAAAUAAAGCAGUUCUAUGAAUUGUCCAACGCACAGCA